rnacentral:rRNA from 1 species
UACGAAGGGGGCUAGCGUUGUUCGGAAUUACUGGGCGUAAAGGGCGCGUAGGCGGCCAUUCAAGUUAGGUGUGAAAGCCCUGGGCUCAACCUAGGAAUUGCACUUGAUACUGUUUGGCUUGAGUUCGGGAGAGGUGAGUGGAAUUCCCAGUGUAGAGGUGAAAUUCGUAGAUAUUGGGAAGAACACCAGUGGCGAAGGCGGCUCACUGGACCGACACUGACGCUGAGGCGCGAAAAGCGUGGGGAGCAAAGCCAAGG